UACGGGGGGGGCAAGCGUUGUUCGGAAUUACUGGGCGUAAAGGGCUCGUAGGUGGUCAACUAAGUCGGACGUGAAAUCCCUCGGCUUAACCGGGGAACUGCGUCCGAUACUGGAUGACUUGAGUUCGGGAGAGGGAUGCGGAAUUCCAGGUGUAGCGGUGAAAUGCGUAGAUAUCAGGAGGAACACCGAUGGCGAAGGCAGUGGUCUGGGCCGAUACUGACGCUGAGGAGCGAAAGCGUGGGGAGCGAACAGG
rnacentral:rRNA from 1 species